CCUACGGGAGGCUGCAGUGAGGAAUAUUGGUCAAUGGGCGCGAGCCUGAACCAGCCAAGUCGCGUGAGGGAAGACGGUCCUAUGGAUUGUAAACCUCUUUUGUCGGGGAGCAAAAGACGCCACGCGUGGCCUUCCGAGAGUACCCGAAGAAAAAGCAUCGGCUAACUCCGUGCCAGCAGCCGCGGUAAUACGGAGGAUGCGAGCGUUAUCCGGAUUUAUUGGGUUUAAAGGGUGCGCAGGCGGAAGCUCAAGUCAGCGGUAAAAUUGAGAGGCUCAACCUCUUCGAGCAGUUGAAACUGGUUGUCUUGAGUGAGUGAGAAGUAUGCGGAAUGCGUGGUGUAGCGGGGAAAUGCAUAGAUAUCACGCAGAACUCCGAUUGCGAAGGCAGCAUACCGGCGCUCAACUGACGCUGAGGCACGAAAGUGUGGGGAGCAAACAGGAUUAGAUACCCUUGUAGUC
rnacentral:rRNA from 1 species